GAUGAAGAACGUAGCGAAAUGCGAUAAGUAGUGUGAAUUGCAGAAUUUAGUGAAUCAUCGAAUCUUUGAACGCACAUUGCGCCCCCUGGUAUUCCGGGGGGCAUGCCUGUCCGAGCGUCAUUGCCGCCCUCAAGCACGGCUUGUGUGUUGGGCCCCCGCCCCCCGGCUUCGGGGGGCGGGCCCGAAAGGCAGCGGCGGCACCGCGUCCGGUCCUCGAGCGUAUGGGGCUUCGUCACCCGCUCUGUAGGCCCGGCCGGCGCCCGCCGGCGACCCCAAUCAAUCUUUCCAGGUUGACCUCGGAUCAGGUAGGGAUACCCGCUGAACUUAAGCAUAUCAAUAAGCGGAGGA
rnacentral:misc_RNA from 1 species